rnacentral:rRNA from 1 species
AUUGAACGCUGGCGGCAUGCCUUACACAUGCAAGUCGAACGGUGACAGGUCUUCGGAUGCUGACGAGUGGCGAACGGGUGAGUAAUACAUCGGAACGUGCCCGAGAGUGGGGGAUAACGAGGCGAAAGCUUUGCUAAUACCGCAUACGAUCUCAGGAUGAAAGCAGGGGCCCGCAAGGCCUUGCGCUCAUGGAGCGGCCGAUGGCAGAUUAGGUAGUUGGUGGGAUAAAAGCUUACCAAGCCGACGAUCUGUAGCUGGUCUGAGAGGACGACCAGCCACACUGGGACUGAGACACGGCCCAGACUCCUACGGGAGGCAGCAGUGGGGAAUUUUGGACAAUGGGCGCAAGCCUGAUCCAGCCAUGCCGCGUGCAGGAUGAAGGCCUUCGGGUUGUAAACUGCUUUUGUACGGAACGAAAAGACUCCUUCUAAUAAAGGGGGUCCAUGACGGUACCGUAAGAAUAAGCACCGGCUAACUACGUGCCAGCCGCCGCCGUAAUAC